rnacentral:rRNA from 1 species
GACGUAGGGGGCGAGCGUUGUCCGGAUUUAUUGGGCGUAAAGAGCUCGUAGGCGGUUUGUCGCGUCUGCUGUGAAAACUGGAGGCUCAACCUCCAGCCUGCAGUGGGUACGGGCAGACUAGAGUGCGGUAGGGGAGAUUGGAAUUCCUGGUGUAGCGGUGAAAUGCGCAGAUAUCAGGAGGAACACCGGUGGCGAAGGCGGGUCUCUGGGCCGACACUGACGCUGAGGAGCGAAAGCGUGGGGAGCGAACAGG